rnacentral:rRNA from 1 species
UACGGAGGGUGCAAGCGUUGUCCGGAAUCACUGGGCGUAAAGGGCGCGUAGGCGGCCCGGUAAGUAGGGGGUGAAAUCCUGCGGCUUAACCGCAGGGCUGCCUUCUAAACUGUCGGGCUCGAGCACGGUAGAGGCAGAUGGAAUUCCCGGUGUAGCGGUGGAAUGCGUAGAGAUCGGGAAGAACAUCAGUGGCGAAAGCGGCUCUCUGGAACGGUACUGACGCUGAGACGCGAAAGCGUGGGGAGCGAACAGG